GUGGGGAAUCUUGCGCAAUGGGCGAAAGCCUGACGCAGCCAUGCCGCGUGAAUGAUGAAGGUCUUAGGAUUGUAAAAUUCUUUCACCGGGGACGAUAAUGACGGUACCCGGAGAAGAAGCCCCGGCUAACUUCGUGCCAGCAGCCGCGGUAAUACGAAGGGGGCUAGCGUUGCUCGGAAUUACUGGGCGUAAAGGGCGCGUAGGCGGACAGUUUAGUCAGAGGUGAAAGCCCAGGGCUCAACCUUGGAAUUGCCUUUGAUACUGGCUGGCUUGAGUUUGGGAGAGGUGAGUGGAACUCCGAGUGUAGAGGUGAAAUUCGUAGAUAUUCGGAAGAACACCAGUGGCGAAGGCGACUCACUGGCCCAAUACUGACGCUGAGGCGCGAAAGCGUGGGGAGCAAACAGGAUUAGAAACCCUUGUAGUCC
rnacentral:rRNA from 1 species